UGCGCGUCGGCGUCACCUA
rnacentral:sRNA from 1 species